rnacentral:rRNA from 1 species
AACGAACGCUGGCGGCGUGCCUGAGACAUGCAAGUCGUGGGAGAAAGUCGGAGCAAUCCGGCUAGUAAACCGGCGCACGGGUGAGUAACACGUGGACAACCUGCCUUGGAGUUCGGGAUAACCCGUCGAAAGACGGACUAAUACCGGAUAUGACCACGGGGAGUUCGCUCUCUGAGGUAAAAGAUGGCCUCUGCUCCUGCAAGCUAUCUCUUCGAGAGGGGUCCGCGUCCUACAGCUAGUUGGUGAGGUAACGGCUCACCAAGG